CGAGUCGAGGGGCAGCAGGUCUGUAGCAAUACAGAUGCUGGCGACCGGCAAACGGGUGCGGAACACGUACAGAACCUUCCUUCGAGCGGGGAAUAGCCCAGAGAAAUUUGGAUUAAUACCCCAUAGUAUACUGAAGAGGCAUCUCUUUAGUAUUAAAGAUUUAUCACUUGAAGAUGGCUGUGCGGCUGAUUAGGUAGUUGGCGGGGUAAAGGCCCACCAAGCCUGCGAUCAGUAACUGGUGUGAGAGCACGACCAGUCACACGGGCACUGAGACACGGGCCCGACUCCUACGGGAGGCAGCAGUAAGGAAUAUUGGUCAAUGGACGAAAGUCUGAACCAGCCAUGCCGCGUGAAGGAUGAAGGUCCUCUGGAUUGUAAACUUCUUUUAUAUGGGACGAAAAAAGGGUUUUCUAACUCAACUGACGGUACCAUAUGAAUAAGCACCGGCUAACUCCGUGCCAGCAGCCGCGGUAAUACGGAGGGUGCAAGCGUUAUCCGGAUUCACUGGGUUUAAAGGGUGCGUAGGUGGGUUGGUAAGUCAGUGGUGAAAUCCCCGAGCUUAACUCGGGAACUGCCAUUGAUACUAUCAGUCUUGAAUACCGUGGAGGUCAGCAGAAUAUGUCAUGUAGCGGUGAAAUGCUUAGAUAUGACAUAGAAUACCAAUUGCGAAGGCAGCUGGCUACCCGAAUAUUGACACUGAGGCACGAAAGCGUGGGGAUCAAACAGGAUUAGAUACCCUGGUAGUCCACGCCCUAAACUAUGGAUACUCGACAUACGCGAUACACUGUGUGUGUCUGAGCGAAAGCAUUAAGUAUCCCACCUGGGAAGUACGACCGCAAGGUUGAAACUCAAAGGAAUUGGCGG
rnacentral:rRNA from 1 species